rnacentral:rRNA from 1 species
UACAGAGGCCCCAAGCGUUACUGAGAAUCACUGGGUUUAAAGGGUGCGUAGGUGGCGCGUUAAGUCCGUUGUGAAAUCCCUUGGCUCAACCAAGGAAUGGCUUCGGAUACUGGCGUGCUUGAGGUUGGUAUGGGUCACUGGAACUGACGGUGGAGCGGUGAAAUGCGUAGAUAUCGUCAGGAACGCCAAUGGUGAAGGCAGGUGACUGGGCCAAUUCUGACACUGAGGCACGAAAGCGUGGGGAGCGAACGGGG